rnacentral:rRNA from 1 species
CAAGCAAAAUGAGUUUUAGUAUGAACCCCCGAAACUAAGUGAGCUACUUCGGAACAGUUUAAAGAACAAACCCGUCUCUGUUGCAAUAGAGUGGGGUGAUUUCCAAGUAGAGGCGACAAACCAACCGCACCUAGAGAUAGCUGGUUGCUCAAGAAAGGAAUAUAAGUUCAACCUUAAGUUUUUAAAUUACACAAAAAACCCAUAAGACUUAAGAGUUAUUCAAAUAAGGCACAGCUUAUUUGAAAUAGGAUACAACCUCAGACACAGGGUAACACACAAGAGUGGGUGACAAGUGGGCCUAAAAGCAGCCAUCUUUCAAAAAGCGUUAAAGCUUAACACCCAUUUCUACUUAAAUACCUUAAUACAUCUGUAACCCGUUAUUAAUAUUGAGUAAUUCCAUAAGUUUAUGGAAAAUAUAAUGCUUGAACUAGUAACAAGAAAUAAACUUUCUCCAUAAUGUAAGCUUAAGCCAUAAUAGACUAUCUACUGGCAAUUAACGUAAAUGAAAACACUAUAACAACUCUGACAAGAAAACCUUAUAGACUUUUAACGUUACCCUAACACCAGAGCAUUAGUGGAAAGAUUAAAAGGGGGAGAAGGAACUCGGCAAAAUUUAACCC